rnacentral:lncRNA from 1 species
AUUUUCCUAUGUAAGUUCCAUAGGGCUACAGGAGCAUCCUACCCCAAACCCUUUAUUUUCCCAGCUCACCACCCCCCUCCCACUUUUCUUGUGUGGAUCCCUGACUGUGCAGAGAGUCCUGCAAGGUCUGGGAUGAGAUGGGGGAAGGUGAAUGUAGGAAACAGUGCUUCUGAAGGGCUAUAGUGCCCCUUCCACGCAGAGGAAGAGAGUUCUGCAUGUGGAGGACCCCUCUGUGUGCAGAUGCUGGGGAAACAAUCUGGGCCUCUGUUUAUGAAACUGAAAUUCUGCUAUACAGAGCAGGAAUUGCUAUGAUACUCCCUGUAGACUAUUUUCAAUCAUGAACAGCUCAAAUAAACAUUCAAAUGAAUGUUCACAGAUACUUUUUUGCAGUAUUCACCUAGUUCAAGGGAGGACUCAGGUUCUAAUUAGCUCAUCCUUUAUGUAAAAAUACAGCCAGAAUUUUUCCAUUUAAUUUGUGAAAACUGUCAAGGCAAAGGAAAUAUGCCUUUGAAAAUCAGAUGAAAAUGAAGCUUGCUGGUGCAGCAUAAUUGCCAGCAAGGGCUCUCACGAAUUAAGUGACCAUCAAGAAAAUUUGAAGCAUAAAGCAAACUUACUGGAUUGUUGCUAUAUUUGCUUUUUCCCCUUAUGUACAAAGCAUGUCCAAUGGAUCAUUCCCAUAUGAAUACAAACAUCUGCAUGAUGACUAAUGUAGUCAUGGGCCAACUUAGCGCCUCUUCACUAUUUUUACAUUUGCGUGAUCACUCAAACACCAGGAAGACCACAAUGGAGGCGCGCAUCUUAGCUUUAUCCUAUGAUCAAAUCAAUGUCUUACAGACAGCACAGUAAUUCUCAGAGCUUCUGAAGGGCAAAAAAUCUGGAGAAGGAAAACGGGUCCCCAGAUUAUCUACCUAAUUGAGCAAGCCAGUGGAAAAAAUAUUAGCAGAGAAGAGAGUGGUAAAUCUUUGAGCCUGCUCUUUGAAGUAAUUGUCUUAUUUCUCUGUAUAGCAUAAUGAUUGUGUUUUUAAGGAUAUGAUUUCUAUUGUGCAAUAUUUAUUCAUAUUAUAAUGGAUCAUUUCUUUUGAUUUCAGGGUCAUAAAGGGAAAGCCAUCUACAGUGAAAAAGUAUUGCAGGAAAAAGUAACCAAACAGUUUGUCCAAUACAGAAAAAAAUGGAAGCCCACGUAAACAGGAAAUGAAUUAAUUAAAAGUGGUUUUUUUUAAAAGAAAUAAUUGUUGAAUACUUUUUUUUAACAAAACUAAUU